CCUACGGGUGGCAGCAGUGGGGAAUAUUGCACAAUGGGGGAAACCCUGAUGCAGCACCGCCGCGUGAGUGAAGCAGUAUUUCGGUAUGUAAAGCUCUAUCAGCCGGGAAGAAGAAAGACGGUACCUGACUAAGAAGCCCCGGCUAACUACGUGCCAGCAGCCGCGGUAAUACGUAGGGGGCAAGCGUUAUCCGGAUUUACUGGGUGUAAAGGGAGCGUAGGCGGUGCAGCAAGUCAGAUGGGAAAGGUCGGGGCCCAACCCUGGGACUGCAUUGGAAACUGUUGAAGUGGAGUACAGGAGAGGUAAGCGGAAUUCCUAGUGUAGCGGUGAAAUGCGUAGAUAUUAGGAGGAACACCAGUGGCGAAGGCGGCUUACUGGACUGUAACUGACGUUGAGGCUCGAAAGCGUGGGGAGCAAACAGGAUUAGAUACCCUAGUAGUC
rnacentral:rRNA from 1 species